CCCCUAGAUGUUCUGGGCCGCACGCGCGCUACACUGAACAGUUCAACAAGUCUUAACCUUGGCCGAUAGGUCUGGGUAAUCUUUGAACGCUGUUCGUGAUUGGGAUAGACCUUGCAAUUAUGGGUCUUCAACGAGGAAUUCCUAGUAAACGCAAGUCAUCAGCUUGCAUUGAUUACGUCCCUGCCCUUUGUACACACCGCCCGUCGCACCUACCGAUUGAAUGGUCCGGUGAAAUCUCGGGACGGCGGCUUGGUCGCUUGCGUCCGACUGCUGAAACUUGAUUAAACCAUAUCAUUUAGAGGAAGGUGAAGUCGUAACA
rnacentral:rRNA from 1 species